rnacentral:lncRNA from 1 species
AUGUCCACUAGGACCCCAAACUCUACUUUCCGCUCACUGCCACAGGACCAUGUGUUUCUGGUAUCGAAAAGGGCGUGCCGACUGCCAGCCCGAGCGUGGCGUCCCCUGCCUCCGCCUGCUUUCUUCAGCCUUGGUGUUUUGGCUCUCAACGGACAUCUCUACGACAGACACUUGCUUCUCCCCUUGGGACUGCGUAACAGAGCCAUGUAGAAGAGAAGUAACCGGGAGGCCCAGUGGAAGUGCUCUUGAGAACUUGAGUGCCUUCUUUCAUGAUAGCCAAGCAGGCAUCUAA